UACGUAGGAGGCAAGCGUUGUCCGGAAUCACUGGGCGUAAAGCGCGUGUAGGUGGUGGGACAAGUCUGCUGUGAAAGCGCCUGGCUUAACCGGGCGAGGUCGGCGGAAACUGUUCGACUCGAGGACGGUAGAGGGGGUGGAAUUCCCGGUGUAGUGGUGAAAUGCGUAGAGAUCGGGAGGAACACCUGUGGCGAAGGCGGCCCCCUGGGCCGGCCCUGACACUGAGACGCGAAGGCGUGGGGAGCGAACGGG
rnacentral:rRNA from 1 species